AGAAGCUUGGGAAAUGCUGGGCUUCUUUCCUGUGGGGCUUCUCAGAGCCUUCUCAGAGCCUUCUCAGAGCCCCAGAACACUAUAAAACCAGUGUUCACUGUGAGGUUCCAAAAGGAAGACACGGGGCUGAGGGGAUCACAUCACAGCCUGUGUGACAUGGAUGAUGUCUCCUGUCCCCAGCUCCCACUGGAGACCUACUGGCACCGUACCAUCAGCUCUGGACUGUCUUUCCUUCUCUGUUGUUGGCCUCUGGCAAUUGCCCCAACUUCCUUAGAGACUCUGGACUGUCUCUAGGAUACACAUCUGGGUGAGGUGAUGCUGUUUAAUGGAUUGCUACAGGUUGAGUUGAACCCCCCAAAAAGAUAUGUUGAAGUCUCAACCCACAGGACUUCAGAAUGUGACCUUGUUUGGAAACAAGAGUGUUGCAGGUUCCCAAGUACUUGAUGCUGGCUGCCGACUUGACUUAUUCGUCAUGACAAGGAUAAAAAAAAAAAAUUAAAUUACAGGAGCAUCCAACCCUCUCCCCUCCCACCACCCACAAGAGGAAGGACCCAGUGUCAUUUCAUAGUGGGUUGAAUGGUGCCCAUCCAAAAAAGAUAUGUUCACAUCCUGCCCCCUUGGAAUCUGUGAAUAUGCCAUUAUUUAGAAAAAGUGUCUUUGCAGAUGUAAUUAAGUUCAAUAUCUUGAAAUGAGAUCAUCCUGGAUUUUCUGGGUGGUCCCUAAAUCCAAUGACAAAAGCUCCCAUGAAGGGAAGGCCACGUGAAGACAGAGAUAGUGGUUGGAAUGAUGUACCCACAAAUCUGAGGAUACAAACAGCCAGUAGGAGCUGGAAGAGGCAAAAGACAAAGUCUCUUCUAGAGCUUUGGAGAGAGCACAGCCCUACCAACACCUUGACUUUGGACAUCUGGCCUCCAGAGAUGUGAGAGAAUAAAUCCCUGCUGUUGUAAGCCACCAAGUUUGUGACAAUUUGUUUUGGCAGCCCCAGAAAAUGAAUAGACAUUUUUUCUUGCAUUAAGGGAAAAGGGGGCUAAAUUAAAACAAACCAAUAAAUUAGAGAGGCCAAUAGGAUUUAAAUAAGAAGUUUCAUUAAUUAAUCACUUACCACAUGCCACGUACCUGUUCCAGUUAGAAGGUGACAGAAAUUUGAACCCAGCAAGAUGAACCUCAGAGCUGGUGCCUUUAACCAGCUACCUUGUGCUUUUAGGAAAGAGUAGAGCUGUAUUUAUACAGAAAGGGUCAUGGGAAGGGAAUGAGAAAAGUUAGGAAAAUUCGGAGGAAUUUUGGGGACCUUGAGAAAUUUGGCAAAUAUUUAAAUUGCUCUCCAGUUUUGUUUUGUUUUUUUUCUAAUUUUGAUGCAAGCCUGUGCUGAGACUUGCACAUAGGGUACCUGUGUUUUAUACGGGUUACUCUUUCACCCAGUUGCCAUUCAUUCAUUAAGCUCCAUUUGGCUUAUGUGCCACCAUCUGUGCUCAGUGCUAGGCAGACCUGCGGAUGAAUGAGAGCCAGACCCUGCCUUGGGGGGCUCAGCUUGUCCUGGUCCAGCAGGCAGAGAUCCCUGAGUUUGGACAUCAUUCUCUGGGCAGUGGGGUUUGUAUGCAGGGAGGGCAAAGCUGAGAGAGCAGGAACUGGCUCUGUGUUCCCAGGCUGCUGAGCCUUCUGAAUCUCUGAACCCCAAGCCCCAAACUUUGGUGGGCUGUUGGCUAAGGGGAUAAAGUGAUCCUUACUAUCUACUGAGGAUUAUAGAGCUACCUCAUUCAGGCAGCUCAAUCAGAUUUUAAAAAUGAAAAUGUUGUCUGGGGCAUCUGGGCGGCUCAGUCAGUUAAGAGUCUGCCUUCAGGUCACAUCAUGAUCCCAGGGUCCUGGGAUCGAGUUCCGAG